GCAGGAUGAGUUCUGCUUAAGGACAUUUUGUGUCCUUUCAGGUCGUGCUGGGCUGUGGGCCAAUGGGAACACGCCCACCCACUAUAAAAGCUGAGAGGGGUCCCUGUACUCUUUCUCUCUUUAUCUUCUGCUGAGGCUGAAGACACGCCCCUUCCGGCUGCUCGCCCUGCUGCUCUCACCGGCGUUCAAAACAUUCGGCGCGUUACUCUGCUUGGUGUUGUGUAGCCACAUUUGGGUUGCUAAAGGAAGCCAUAGCGGCUGGACCGGCUUCUGACGUGCUCUCCUUGUCCUGUGUGUGUGUGUGUGUGUGUGCGCGUCACGCUGCUGUAACAGAGGUAGGUUCAGUUUCUUUUGUGUUGAGCAGAACUAAUUGUCCUGUUUGUAACACCGCCCUUCUGUUUUCCCAUGCUGUUUAGUGGCAGCACCAAGGACCCGCUGCUGCUUUGCUUGACUGCUGCUUUGCUCGCUGCUUUGUGUACUGCAUGUGUACCGCUGUGCUUCGCUUCGCCCGGCCGUGUAUCUGUGGCCUGCUAUACGGCUAACCGGGGCUAGCUGCUGUUAUCUCUCUGCCUCACUCGCUUGGCCUACCUCUAUCCGGUGUCAGCCGGGUUUGGACCAAGCAAGUUAUGAACUGGGUUAUUUUUAACUGUGUUUAGCUCUGUGAUUUUAAUUGUUGCCUUGUCUGUUUUUUUUAUCUGCGCCCACAGUGGGGGACACAGUGUUAUUCGUUGGACAUUAGUUGGGUUUUGUUGUUUUUCUGUUUUGCCUUAUGCCCCUUAUUGGUUUAAUGUCCAGCUAGUAUUGAUUUGUUUUUUUCUGUUCUUAUUCUGAGCCUUAUUUGUUUUUUUGGAUAUUUGUUUUCUAGGUUAAAAUAUUCAUUCUGAUUUGGUUAUUAGUUUAGUUUUUUUUUGUUUCUGUGUUCUCCACUGAUUCCCUUCUAUGUUCCAGAGGCUGUGUACCUGUGGUCGGGACGUGGUGUCGUCGGUGGUAGUCCCCCUCCCCGUGUGAUGUGUGAACCCUGGUUUUUUGGUUUAGUUUUGCACGUGUGUGUGAUUUAUUUAUUUUUUUUCUUUAUUCACUUGGUGACCUCUCCCUGGGCCCUGUUCCUCCCCUCCGUCGACACACCGCCACAUGGUAAGCAGACCUCUGACCCUUUGCACCCCUUUUAUCCUUAUUUUAUCAUGUGUUAAUUGAUUUUAAUUAGUGGUGUAAAUAAAAUUGGAUUAUUGUACGGGAACAACACGUCUCUCGUUUCAUGAUAUAUGGACCUGUGUGCCUCAACGUGCUUUUAAGAGGCAAAGACUUUCCUUGGGGGCUCUCUCUCCCCAAGGUGGCGUUGUCAAGCUCCACUUAGAAGUUAGCCCUCCUAGCUGCUACUGCGCUCGCCACAGUACCAACGUAUAAUAAUAUACAUAGACACUGUCUUGUUAAAACCAGAUAAAUUAAAGCUGUUAAAUACUUUUAUUCAGCGUCUGAUUACAUGUUAAUGCUCCACAUGACAUGAAUAUUAUUAUUAAUAUUAAUAAUUAUAGACUUUCUGAUCAGGAUCAGUUCAUGUGCAGCUAAAAACCUGAUCACUGAUCAAUAUAUCUGCCUUCUUCUGCUUUAAUUAACCUACUGGUGUCAAAAAAAUGCUGUCUUUUAUUAUUAUUACUGGGAAUGUGUGUAUUUAUUAUGAAGCAUUUGAAGCAGAUGUUCUGCUGGGUCCAUCAGAACCAUCAGAACAUCCAGAAAUCACUGAGGCAUCCAGUAGUUGAAUUCUUGUUGAUACCACUGCAUUCCUGCCGAUUGUGUCCCAGUAUAAAGAUCUCCAUGAAGCUGCUGGAACCUUCUGCAUUAAAACCAGCCUGUUGGCCUUUCAGUUCAGACAUUGGAGGCUGAAGACAGAUUCUGAUUUAUGACAGUUUGUUGUUUGGUUCUUCUGUCUGACAUGAUCAUGAAUAAAAGAAAAUCCUGCGUCUUCAGCAGCUCAGUAAAACACGUUAACACAAAGGUCAACCUGAUCAUCAGGAUCUAUCAGCUGCAACAUGAGGUCUGAAGGUCAGUGCACAACAUGUUGGACAGGUCCUAGUUCUGGUUCCAGCAAGAAUAAAUCAAAAACACAGCAUGAAAUAAAACAGUAGAUAAAAGAAAUCACUCAGUUCAGAAUCAACUUUACUGGCCCAGUUUUUACACAUAAAUGAGAAAUGUAACUCUGAGUCUCAGCCCUGUGUGCAGUAAUCAGGGAAAUAAACUAAGAACUAAAAGUAAAGUAGAGUAGUAAAGAAAUAAACUGGAACAAUAAAAAUAACAGCAACAUAAACACACAUAAACAGCAGCAUUUAUAGCAUCUGUGUAAAGUGGGUUACUGAGGGAGGAGUGGUACAUUGAAAGUAGUUUUAGUAGUACUGGUAAUAAUAUGAAUAGUACUGGUAGUAGUAUUAGUUGUAGUGAAAGUUAAUAAGUAUUAUACGUGAGGAGAAGAUGAGGACAUCAGUGAGGCUGUAUAAAUGUAAAAGUUAAACUCCUGACAAGGAAUCAGAGUUCUAAUAGAAGAGUAUGUUCACUGAGAGGCAGAUGGAGUCUAGAGGUUCUGGUUCUGAUGCUGCACAGCCUCCUGGAGGGAAACAGUCUGUUAGUAUAGUUAUGGAAAUAAAUCAGAGAACAUGUACAUUACUGCACACAGAGUACAUGUACAUUACUGCACACAUACAGACUACAUGUACAUUACUGCACACAGAGUACAUGUACAUUACUGCACACAGAGUACAUGUACAUUACUGCACACAUACAGACUACAUGUACAUUACUGCACACAGAGUACAUGUACAUUACUGCACACAGAGUACAUGUACAUUACUGCACACAUACAGAGUACAUGUACAUUACUACACACAUACAGACUACAUGUACAUUACUGCACACAGAGUACAUGUACAUUACUGCACACACACAGAGUACAUGUACAUUACUGCACACACACACAGAGUACAUGUACAUUACUGCACACACACAGAGUACAUGUACAUUACUACACACACACACAGAGUACAUGUACAUUACUGCACACAUACAGAGUACAUGUAUUCCAAUGUACAAAGAGGACAUGCACGUCAGUAUAUCCAGAGUACAUGUGUAAUUUAUGUGUAAUUUUAAUUCCAUUUUAACAGUUUGUGUGUAUAUUUAUACUAGAGCAUAACAGUGCAGCACUUUGAACUCUUAUCUGUGCAUGUAACGGUACUACUACGCGCGUGUGAUGGUACCGUAGGUGUUUGCGCGCUUUGUUUUUGCCGUCACGUUGGGCCCACCGCACCCGAACCGCCGAACCGGCUGUGUCAAACUUCGCCAUUGCUGAAGAAAAAAAUACCAACAUACUUCACAUUCAUAUAUGUCACCAUCAGGGAUUAUUGGGAUUAUGUUAUGUGUUGCUCCUGCAAUUUUUUGGUCAGUGUCCACUUUUCUUCUCUUUGUAGUCAUAAAUUAGUGGUUGCUUUGUUUCUCUGUGGUUAUUUUGUGAUUCUUAUUUUUGUGUUUUUGAAUUAAUGUUGUGUCUCUGUGUGGUUGUUUUGCGUGUCAGUGAUUCAUUCUUUCUCUUCCCAGUCAUCACACAGCUGUAGGGUUUCUCUCUCAUGUGGGUCUGUUUAUUGAGCAUUGUGGUACAACACUAAAUUUGUUGUUUUUGUACACUGUUUACACUUACGAGGUUUCUCCCUACUGUGAAUUCUGUACUGUCUGUACUCUCGUUCUUUUGUGUGGAUGAUUCUAUACCUCUUCAAAGCACUCAGCAAAGUAACACUCUUCCCACACUUCUUAUAAGUGUACAGUUUCAGUCUGGGAUGGUAUUUUCUUGCACUCUGUGACCUGUUGUUGUUAUUGAUAAUGAUAAUAAUUUUGGACAUGCCACUUUUUGUUUAAAUGUAAAUAAAAUAAAAGCUGAGAAAUAUUUUUUUCCACAAUGAUAGCUCUAGUAUAUUGUCUAAUUAUCUUUUGGGAGACAACUGUGUCAUUUCCAAUUUAAAAAAAAGCCUUUCUUGUUGAAUAAAAAUAACUUUAAGUCAAAAAUUUGCUAAGGGUAUGAAUAAUUUCAGGCUUGACUGUAUAUCAUUAUUUCUACAUAAAACUGUCUACCUGUCUGUUUAAACUGCUCAGACAAUCUUUCGCUCCAAUAAACUGUAAAAAUAUGACUGUACUAAAAAAUACAAAUAAAAAUAUGAUCAUAAACUCA